GUCACUUUGUGUUUGUUCAACUGGCAAACAAAGGCAUGAAAGACAGGUGAAAAAAUGAACCUUUUGUAAUGCAGAAUUCAUUGUUCAUUGCUCAUUGUGUAUGAGUUCUGAUACAUACAGGCAGGAAUAUG